rnacentral:rRNA from 1 species
UACGUAGGUGGCAAGCGUUGUCCGGAUUUACUGGGCGUAAAGGGCGCGUAGGCGGCAAAUUAAGUCAGCUGUGAAAUCUCCGAGCUUAACUCGGAACUGUCAGCUGAUACUGAUCUGCUAGAGUGCGGAAGGGGCAAUCGGAAUUCUUGGUGUAGCGGUGAAAUGCGUAGAUAUCAAGAGGAACACCUGAGGUGAAGACGGGUUGCUGGGCCGACACUGACGCUGAGUGCGCGAAAGCCAGGGGAGCAAACGGG